UUGCCAACAUCUACAAUCUGGGUUGGGGAACCAUCCAAUUUUUUUCUGGGCAUCACAACCAACAAUUGAUUAUGGACCUAGUUAUCUGGAAGAAACUUAUAUAGCAUACCACCUUCAGAAUGUUCAGCAAUCCUCUCCAAGUGCCUAUAAUUCGGCAUUUGAAGAGAAAGUGUUACACAUGUUAGAAGGGCUAGAAAUGAAUACCUAGAUCUUCCACUCCCACACUCAGUCCAUAGCCAAGCUAGAGAUCCAAAUUGAUCAACUAGCUACUGCACUCAAU
rnacentral:lncRNA from 1 species